rnacentral:lncRNA from 1 species
CUGAAGUGAGUUGCGCUCCAGGCUUCUCCCAGGAGGCACCCAGAGUGCAAAUGCUGCCCAGCUACCAGCUGGAGCUGACACAAGCCUGCUGUAAUUUGAUGAGCGAGCAAACCCCUGUCCCAGAGCAGGAGUUGAGAUCAUUCGUGCAACAACAGGACGCAGCCUAUUGCUAGCAACUCCUCGUGACCGGCCCCCGCCCCAGCAGCGGCUAGCCCGCAGGCCUCGGUGGAAAGAAAUACCGUAAAUGUAGCAGCGACUGUCAUCGCUGUUUUAUUUUCUCUUUGGCCUCUGGGUAUUCACACCGCUUCCCCAUUAUUAGUCAUAUUAUAUCAUCAGCCACAGUUGUGCUUGUCAACCACUCGGGGAGAGAGCUACCAUUAGAAUACAGGGGCAUGGAAGAAAGAAAAAAGAAGCAAUCCUUCUCUGGGGAAGGAGGAAAACAGGAAGGGUGGCUGCUGCAUGAUGGUGCGCCCGCCGCGUAGCUGUGGCUGGUGACAGACGAGGCAAAGUGGGAGACUUCAUCUGGUCAGGACCCCACGGGGACUUGCUGUUGUUUUUCCCGGUCUCAGGGGCCCUCAGAGCCAGAAACAGCACAGUUGUGGACAGAGGUGGACAGAGGCCAGGCCCGCCCGUUGGCUGGUGCCUGACUCGGUGGGUCUGUGGGCUGCUUCCUGAGCGGGAGGUGACUGUGGCCAGCCUGAUGCAGGGCAGAGACACCGUUUCCGUGGCAACCGGCUCUAACAAUAGUGAUGCACAUUUCUGGCCAAAGCACAGUGGUGGGAAGAACUCGGACCGGGGAGCCAGAAUGGCCUGGAUUGGAGUCCAGUUCUGCUACUGACAAGCUGCAUGGUGGGGGCGAGCUGUUGAGCCUCUCUGAGACGGAUAUGGUGGCAGCACCGGUGGAAGUGCCUAGCAUGGUACCCGAGACCUAGUAAGGGCUCGGUGAUGCUUGGUCACCGUCCACCAUCCUCCUCCCCUUCAGCCUAUGGUGAAAAAUAGUCCUGUCUGUUUCGGUAACAAAACUCCAGACACCAUCCUGCCCAUUCGGACCGGUUCUGCACUUCCCUCCAUUCAUGGAGAAAGGAGCCUCGAAGGGACAAUGAUCACCGUCUCCUUCUGAGAACUGUGCUGGCUGGCAUCCUGCAGACACCGAAGGGCCAGUUUCUAAGGACAUGGCCUGGGUGUUCUGUCCAGCUGGAUGGCAGGCCGUGACCCCAAAAUCAGCAGUGAUGAUAACGAAGCGAGUGAAGCAGUAUGGAGAUGGCCAGU